GCUGAUUUUGGGGGAAGUGAAUUCUCCGAAAAGCUAGUUUCUGAGAAGCAGCAAUUUGCUGCUUUGCAAAAUUGCUUCUGCGGAACCUCUCCCAAAAAACACGGAGGGUUUAAUGAAACUUAUUGAACUGUCUAUUUUGUCAUUGUUUUUUUCCUAAAAAUCACACUGAACCCAGCAGCCUUAUCUCUUCCCUUCAUUACAGAUGGUUUCCUCUCUAUCAUUCUCCUCUCCUGCUCCUUUCUUUGCUGUCAAAUCCUUAACCCUAAUCCUCAUCGGCACAAAUUGGGAGAGAAGCUCUCUACUUCUCCUCCCUUCGUCUCUAAGAAGCAUCAUCAGAAAUACGAGAGGAGCUAUUUCUGAUUGUCUUCCCAUCACGGUCAUCUAUUCAAGCAUUCUUCUGGUCUUCUUCAAAAACUUGGUAGUGCAGCAUUGUUCUCCAAUUCUAAAGUGCUGUACUCGGGUGUUGUUGCUGGAGCUAGGGAGGCAUUAAUAAGUGGAGUGCCCUCUUUAUCUAUUUUUCUGAAGUGAAUAUACUCCAGGAAACCCCAAAAUAAUGACAAAAUGUUCUCAUCAUUAUCAUCUUGGUUGUAUAUAUGAGUGGAUAUGGAGAGAAGUGAAAGUUGUCCUGUUUGUAGCAAGGUCAUGGCAUUUGAUGAAACGACUUAAUCUUGAUUGAUGAAUCCAGCAACAUCAGGAAGAUAGAAUACUAAAGAAAGUGAUACCAAUGUGAAUACCGCAUGUUAAAAAAAUAGUGUCAUCGAUAGUACAUAUAAACUUAAUUUCUGAUAACCGAUGUUGUAAGUACAGUUUAUCCAAAUAUUUUUCUCCUUUGGAAAUUUUUCUUUGGAAGAAAAAAUGUGAUAGUUCUUGCAAUUUUACUUGCAUUUGGCAAAAGUCAUUUAAGUAUAGCAUUGCACCAGUAGAGAGAAAACUUUCUGUACAACUUAUUUAUGUUACCAGUGUUCUUUCUCUGGGUGUUA